rnacentral:rRNA from 1 species
UACGUAGGGUGCGAGCGUUAAUCGGAAUUACUGGGCGUAAAGCGUGCGCAGGCGGUUCGUUAAGUCCGAUGUGAAAGCCCCGGGCUCAACCUGGGAACUGCAUUUGAAACUGGCGGGCUUGAGUGUGGCAGAGGGGGGUGGAAUUCCGCGUGUAGCAGUGAAAUGCGUAGAGAUGCGGAGGAACACCGAUGGCGAAGGCAGCCCCCUGGGCCAACACUGACGCUCAGGCACGAAAGCGUGGGGAGCAAACAGG